UUCAUAGGAAGGUGUCAUUCA
rnacentral:miRNA from 1 species